UUGUUGUAUGAAAGGCUAGAAGGUGAGCUCUCCCUUUGACAAGGAUGGAUGAGGCCCUCAGGCCUAAUGACAUGCACAUGGUUAAGGAAUUGCCACCAACUUUGUGACAUCUCACCACUGUUUUUA